UUCCUUUGAGUUUCAGCCUUGCGACCAUACUCCCCAGGCGGAGCACUUAACACUUUCGCUUCGGUCGGAAACCUAUGGAGGAGCCUCCAACCUAGUGCUCAUCGUUUACAGCUAGGACUACCGGGGUAUCUAAUCCCGUUCGCUACCCUAGCUUUCGUGCCUCAGCGUCAGAAAAGACCCAGUGAGCCGCUUUCGCCACAGGUGUUCCUAAUGAUAUCAACGCAUUUCACCGCUCCACCAUUAGUUCCGCUCACCUCUAUCUUCCUCUAGCUUGGCAGUUUUGAGCGCAGUUCCUCGGUUGAGCCGAGGGAUUUCACACCCAACUUGCCAAUCUGUCUACGCACCCUUUAAGCCCAGUGAUUCCGAAUAACGUUUGGACGGUUCGUCUUACCGCGGCUGCUGGCACGAACUUAGCCCGUCCUUCCUCUGAAGAUAGGUCAACUAUGGGGGAGAACCCCCAUAGAUUUCCUCCCAACUGACAGCGGUUUACAACCCGAAGGCCUUCAUCCCGCACGCGGCGUCGCUCCGUCAGGCUUUCGCCCAUUGCGGA
rnacentral:rRNA from 1 species